GAUGAACGCUGGCGGCGUGCCUAAUACAUGCAAGUCGAACGGGGAGUAGCAAUACUCUUAGUGGCGAACGGGUGAGUAACGCGUUGGUACCUGCCCCGAAGCGGGGGAUAACGGACCGAAAGGUCCGCUAAUACCCCAUGUGCUCGGUAACGAGUAAAGGUGAAAACCACUUUGGGAGGGGCCUGCGUCCCAUCAGCUAGUUGGUAAGGUAACGGCUUACCAAGGCGAUGACGGGUAGGGGACCUGAGAGGGUGGCCCCCCACAAUGGAACUGAAACACGGUCCAUACACCUACGGGUGGCAGCAGUAGGGAAUAUUGGGAAUGGGCGCAAGCCUGAGCCAGCAACGCCGCGUGUGCGAUGACGGCCUUCGGGUUGUAAAGCACUUUUGACUGGGACGAGGAAGGACGGUACCGGUCGAAUCAGCCUCGGCUAACUACGUG
rnacentral:rRNA from 1 species